ensembl:lncRNA
UGGGGGUAAUAUACAGCAUCCCUGCCCCGUGGGAUUGCUGUGAGAAUCUAAGCGCUCCAGACUCCUAACCCAGCAGCUCCCUCUGGUUACAGGACACGGAUUCCCAGGUGAAGGCGGAGGAGGCGGGAAGCCCCUGCCCCGAGUUCCCCCUGGGCCUAACCCGCGAACUUCUUGGACAGGAAAAGGGGCUGCUGCAAACCAGGAUGUGAAAAGGCCGCGGGGGCAGAGAGGGCGGAGGCCGCCGGGGAGGCCGCCAGACACAGUAAAUAAUUCACACAGAUGAACCGGAGAUAAGUGCGGCUUCGUGGGGGAUUGAGUUCAGGUGGCAGGAGGCUCAGACGGCUGCAGGGGACCUGCGGGCUCCCCGGGUCUGAGAGCGGAGAAUUACUGCCGCUCCGUCUGCCAGGAAAACUCGGCCCCAGGUGCCGGCUCGGCCGCUCCCUGCCAUGGGCGGGAGCUCCCCGGAACUGCCCGGCGGGGCAACCCGCCGCGGCCCGCCGCCUCGACCCCGCCCAGCCGUCCCCAUGGCAACCGGCGGCCUGGUCCAGGGUUCACCGCCAACCGGAUCCUCAGCCUCCCCUCCCCCACAGGAGGAUGAGCAUUUUAGGCUCAGAACCCUGAGCUCUCUGAGCUGCCAGAAGCGGUAGAAAGUCGUCUCAUCCGACGCCCUCCUUAUAUUGGAGCAGUUGAAACCAGGGACUCGGAGUCAGCCUCCCUGGGUUUUGAUCCCAGCUCCACGACUUUGCAGCUGUGCCACUUCAGGCAGAUUUUAUAAACCAGAGCAGCUGCCUGAAGGUUUCCAAGAGAAAAUUCUGCACAGUUUCUAACAAGGGUGACAGUUCCCGUCCACAGGAAGUUGCUUUUAUUUAUUAAGGGUUUUUUAAUCUCUUUUUUUGUAAGGCUCCAUCUAUCGGUCAUCAGGCUGCACCUUGGGCCCUGCGGGCAUUUUUGUUUUCCCCAGUUUGCCUGGAACUCAUGAUUACAUCUAAACCACAGUGGGCUUGCCCAACACAGGGGCAAAGUUGAACAGCUGAAAAGUGGGUCACUCACACGCCUGGGCAAAGAAUCCCAAGCAAUUUAUGGAGACACUCCCCCCCUCAAGGAGGGGGGAACAUAACUCCACCCCUUAAGUGGGCUCCACAUAAUGAUUUCCUUCCAAAGAGGCCAGUAUGGAAAGGGGGGAAGAAAGAGUGACUUUGCAGUGGUUAAACCGGAGAAGUGCUGUGUCAGCCCGGUGAUCAAGGUCAACAUCAACUGUGAGCAGUCAUGUUGACAGCUGCUACCCAUGAUAUGAUGUGAUGAGGAUAUCACUUUGCCUCCGUGGUCUUCCUCCCAAAACCCAUAACCCCAGCUGAACCACGAGAAAAACAUCAGACAGACCCCAAAUGACAGACAGUCUACGAAAUGCCAGACCAGGACUCCAUCAAAAACAGGGAAAGUCUUGGGGCUGGCCCCGUGGCGGAGUGGUUAAGUUCCCGCGCUCCGCUGCAGGCAGCCCAGUGUUUCGUUGGUUCGAAUCCUGGGCGCGGACAUGGCGCUGCUCAUCAAACCACGCUGAGGCAGCGUCCCACGUGCCACAACUAGAAGGACCCACGACGAAGAAUAUACAACUAUGCACCGGGGGGCUUUGGGGAGAAAAAGGAAAAAAAUAAAAUCUUUAAAAAAGUAAACUAAAAAAUAAAAAAACAAGGAAAGUCUGAGAAAUUAUCACACCCAAGGGGAGCUUAAGGAGACACAAUGACUAAAUUAAAGUGUAUCGUGGAACAGGAAAAGGACAUUAGGUAAAAACUAAUGAAAUCCAAAUGAACUGUGGAGGUUAGUCAAU